CUGGACCCCAUGACUCGGACACUAGUUCUACCAAGGCUCAUUAGAGAGUGCUUCAGAGGAUGGCUGAAUUCACAAAACGUGGAGAAGACCGAGAAGGAGAAGUUGGCCGGUUACUACAUUUCACAAAAAAUACAGGACCUUGU